AGAUGGCAGUGAGAGCCCAACAGGGGAUCCUGAGUGGCUGCCACUGGCUGCUCCAGGUUCUGCCAUUUCCAACAGGGCAAUAAACACAAUAUCCACCUUAUAAAAUGAAAGGGACAGCAAAGGUUUGGGGUCAGGGACAGGGGCAACAUCAGGGUUGCAAUUAGGGUUUGGGUUAGGGUCUGGAUCGGGGUUAGAGUUUAGUUUAGUGUCAAGGUCAAGGGACAUUGCUCUCCCCAGCCUGAUGCUUGCUGGUGGGUUGGGGUUUCCUCCAGGCCCCUCACCCUGAGUUUUUGGGGAAAGAGUUCCCACUGCUGAAGCCAGGCAGGUUCCCAGGUGAUGGCAAUGAUUAACUCUUGUGGAACACUGUGGGUCAGCUCUGGCCCCAGACACUGGCUGCUGCACGUCCAAAGCUCUCUCUUUUCUCUUUGGAAAAGCCAUGACCUGACCAAACUUCACUGGGCUUUGACUAUGAUUAACCUCCUGCAGUCACCAGUGCAAGGUCACAAAGCCUGGGAACAGCUCAGCACCCACACCCCACCAUGGCCAUCCUCUGUCCCCAGCAGUGAGGUGUGACCCCCUUCUGCUUCUCCAGCCCAAAAAUGUGUCAUCUCUUCUGGACUUCACCGUGGCCACCUUAUGUAACUGGCAGCGAGGAGAAGAAGAAGAAGCCCUACAGCCCAGCUCCAUGCUCCUCCCACCACAACUCCCAUGGGCACUUGUCAACAUCCCAGUAAAAAAAGGAGAAUUGAACCCAUGCAACCUGGCCGUGCCCCAGGGACGCGCGGAGUGAGGGCCGGCGGCGGCUGAACAACAACCCCCCUGCUCUGCUCUUACAUCUCCCCCAUGGAAACUUUUCAACUCCAGUCCCUGGCAGGAGCCAGGCUGAUCCCAGCUGAAUUCCUUCCACUUACCAGCAAAUAAAUAGCAGUUAAAUGAAAGGAAAGAGAAAAACACCCUUUUUUCAAAGGGGAAAACAAAGAAGUCAGGGAAAAUAAAUGGAGGCGAAAUGUUGGGCUGG